rnacentral:rRNA from 1 species
AGUGAACGCUGGCGGUAGGCCUAACACAUGCAAGUCGAACGGCAGCACAGUAAGAGCUUGCUCUUACGGGUGGCGAGUGGCGGACGGGUGAGGAAUACAUCGGAAUCUACUUUUUCGUGGGGGAUAACGUAGGGAAACUUACGCUAAUACCGCAUACGACCUACGGGUGAAAGCAGGGGAUCUUCGGACCUUGCGCGAUUGAAUGAGCCGAUGUCGGAUUAGCUAGUUGGCGGGGUAAAGGCCCACCAAGGCGACGAUCCGUAGCUGGUCUGAGAGGAUGAUCAGCCACACUGGAACUGAGACACGGUCCAGACUCCUACGGGAGGCAGCAGUGGGGAAUAUUGGACAAUGGGCGCAAGCCUGAUCCAGCCAUACCGCGUGGGUGAAGAAAGCCUUGGGGUUGUAAAGCCCUUUUGUUGGGAAAGAAAAGCAGCAGGUUAAUACCCCGCUGUUCUGACGGUACCCAAAGAAUAAGCACCGGCUAACUUCGUG